GGGAUAUUUUGUACAUGGUUGUACAGUUUGAUUGCAGAUCAGAAUAAUGAGGUUCGAUUCCUCAAUAUCCCU
rnacentral:tRNA from 1 species